CGUGAACCUUUACUAUAGCUUGACACUGAACAUUGAGCCUUGAUGUGUAGGAUAGGUGGGAGGCUUUGAAGCGUGGACGCCAGUCUGCGUGGAGCCGACCUUGAAAUACCACCCUUUAAUGUUUGAUGUUCUAACGUGGACCCGUGAUCCGGGUUGCGGACAGUGUCUGGUGGGUAGUUUGACUGGGGCGGUCUCCUCCUAAAGAGUAACGGAGGAGCACGAA
rnacentral:rRNA from 1 species